UACGGGGGGGGCAAGCGUUGUUCGGAAUUACUGGGCGUAAAGGGCUUGUAGGUGGCCAACUAAGUCAGACGUGAAAUCCCUCGGCUUAACCGGGGAACUGCGUCUGAUACUGGAUGGCUCGAGUGUGGGAGAGGGAUGCGGAAUUCCAGGUGUAGCGGUGAAAUGCGUAGAUAUCUGGAGGAACACCGGUGGCGAAGGCGGCGUUCUGGACUGUUUCUGACACUGAAAAACGAAAGCCAGGGGAGCAAACGGG
rnacentral:rRNA from 1 species